UAAUUGGAGAGUUUGAUCCUGGCUCAGAAUGAACGCUGGCGGCGUGCCUAACACAUGCAAGUCGAACGAGAAACUCCGGGCUUGCUCGGAGAAGUAAAGUGGCGCACGGGUGAGUAACGCGUGGGUAACCUGCCCCUGAAUCUGGGAUAACUUCGCGAAAGCGUUGCUAAUACCGGAUAUUGUCCCUUUUGCUGUGGCUAGAGGGAUGAAAGGUGACCUAUUCAUGAAAGUUGCCGUUUAGGGAGGGGCUCGCGUACCAUUAGCUUGUUGGUGGGGUAAUGGCCUACCAAGGCUGCGAUGGUUAGCUGGUCUGAGAGGAUGAUCAGCCACACUGGAACUGAAACACGGUCCAGACUCCUACGGGAGGCAGCAGUGAGGAAUUUUGCGCAAUGGGGGAAACCCUGACGC
rnacentral:rRNA from 1 species